rnacentral:tRNA from 1 species
ACCUGGAUGGCUUAGCUGGUGGAGCACAAGACUCUUGAUCUUGGGGUUGUGAGUUUGAGCCGCACAUUGGGUA